UACGGGGGGGGCAAGCGUUGUUCGGAAUUACUGGGCGUAAAGGGCGCGUAGGCGGCCUACUAAGUCGGACGUGAAAUCCCUCGGCUCAACUGAGGAACUGCGUCCGAUACUGGCGAGGCUUGAAUUCGGGAGAGGGAUGUGGAAUUCCAGGUGUAGCGGUGAAAUGCGUAGAUAUCUGGAGGAACACCGGUGGCGAAGGCGGCAUCCUGGACCGAGAUUGACGCUGAGGCGCGAAAGCUAGGGUAGCAAACGGG
rnacentral:rRNA from 1 species